GAAACCGAACCAAAAUCUAACGCUACGCGUCAACACACGGAACCCAGACAACUCAUAAAUACCGUUGUCACAAAAGGCAGCAAUUUUCUCACAAAGAUAACAAAUGAUGAGCACUUUAUUUGGGGCUUGGAACAAACUUUAAAGAUUUGGAAUUCGGCAUUAAUUGAAAAUCCUCGUGCGGAUCCUGUACUCCAGCAAUGGAAUGACUCCAUAUCAACACAACUCCGAACUGUGUUAACACAAAUGUGCACGUAUAGCAAAGUGAGAGAAGAAUUCAUAGCCCACUUUUGCAGAGACGGGGACAAAUACAAAACAACUAUGCAUGCAUGCC